rnacentral:tRNA from 1 species
GCCGAGGUGGCGGAACGGCAGACGCAGCGGUCUUAAACACCGCGGCCCGCAAGGGCAUCCGAGUUCGAAUCUCGGCCUCGGCACCA